UAUAUAUUUUUUUUAAAUUUUGCAAUUAAUCUUUGUUUUUGUACCUUAAAAAAGAAUUGGGGUUUAUUAUUUUUCUAAAUUCUAUAUAAGCAAAGAAGUACUACAUACAAAUAAUACUUAAGAAUCUUCCUAAAAUAUCUUUAUCCCAAAAAGUAUGCCACGAAUUUAGAAUUCAUCUUUGUGCCCGAGCAUCGGAUUGCUAUUUUAGCCACCUUUUGCUGCCUGUUUUCUGUUUUAUGGCCAAAACGAAGAAGCUCUCCGUUAUCGGAUAAAUGGGCGUCGUGUGUCGUCGGCCCAAAUUUAGUAAAUAUAACAAUUUUAUGGCAGCCAUGGCCUACAAAAUCGGCAAGCCAAGCGAGCGGUUGUCGAGGGACUGUCCCAGGGUCAAGUGCGUUUGCCUUUAUUGUUAUUCUUGCCGUUAUUGUUAUCCCGCAGGCGCACACGACGUAUGCGUGAUGUGGGCACAUGGGUGUACCAUUGAGACGACCCACUUCCGGACGCAUCCGGGUCUCGACCUUCCGUCCGCAAACGCCGGACGAAUGCUGAUUUCUCCUGAUUUAUAUUAUUUUAUAUUGUUUUGUUAUUUAGUUGUGUUUUGUGACGAUCUCAGUCGCAUUUUGCUGCAAUUAUACAGAAUAUGUGUUCAGGUUUAAUUUGGCAAUUAGUUAACAAUGGCUAAUUGACGGGCAAUUAGCCAAAACUGCUAUAAAAUGUGGCAGCCGGAAGGGAUCUGCAAAAGGUGCGACAUGGAGCUGUUGGCCAGAAGCUUAGUGGGUUUGGGUUUGUGGAUCCUGGCCCUAAUGGCUGUAAGCCAGGGCACCAACUUUGAAGUAAUUGGCGAUGAGAAAACAAUGGACAUUUACUGCAGUGCCGAGGAGGAUCAGGGGGAUAUAUCCUUUCGCGAAUUUGUGGACGUUAGUGGCUUGACUUUCGAUGUUGCCGAUGAUUUGGAAACUCUAUUCUACAAUGGUGAUAUCAAAAUGCUUAUGGAUGUGCCUCAGGGUCCCAUUACCAUGCAGGUAGAUGUAUUCCGCUGGCAAAGGAGUCAAUGGCUUCCCACACCCCUUUCACUGAAGCGGGAUAACUUUUGUCAGUCUCUCCUUAGUCCUUACGAGCUCUGGCAUCCGAUUCUCAGAAAUAUUCCCAAGGAGCAGUUGAAAUGUCCACCCACCAAAGGUCACAUUUACACCCUGACCAAUGUAAGCAACCAUUUGUUUGUAAAGAACAUGCCCAAUAUGGAUAUAGCCGGUGACCUCAAGGCGGUGGUUCACCUAAGUGCCGGUGGCCACAAAACCUGCGCUGUGGUGUUCGUCAAAAUCUAUGCCAAUUGACCCUGACAAUGGGUUUGGAAGGUAGAAGCUGGCGGUUCCAAAAGGUGCUCUAAAAAGGAAUCUCAUCAAGAUCCGGCUGUUUGCUUAGUUUAUAGCUAACUGGAUUCAACUGGAUAUUGCUUUUGCCUGGUUUUUCCUACAAAUACCAAAAGACCUGAACUGAGGUAAGACUCGGAUAUAGA